AUUGAACGCUGGCGGCAUGCCUUACACAUGCAAGUCGAACGGCAGCACGGGUGCUUGCCCCUGGUGGCGAGUGGCGAACGGGUGAGUAAUACAUCGGAACAUGUCCUGUAGUGGGGGAUAGCCCGGCGAAAGCCGGAUUAAUACCGCAUACGAUCCACGGAUGAAAGCGGGGGACCUUCGGGCCUCGCGCUAUAGGGUUGGCCGAUGGCUGAUUAGCUAGUUGGUGGGGUAAAGGCCUACCAAGGCGACGAUCAGUAGCUGGUCUGAGAGGACGACCAGCCACACUGGGACUGAGACACGGCCCAGACUCCUACGGGAGGCAGCAGUGUGGAAUUUUGGACAAUGGGCGAAAGCCUGAUCCAGCAAUGCCGCGUGUGUGAAGAAGGCCUUCGGGUUGUAAAGCACUUUUGUCCGGAAAGAAAUCCUUGACUCUAAUACAGUCGGGGGAUGACGGUACCGGAAGAAUAAGCACCGGCUAACUACGUG
rnacentral:rRNA from 1 species